rnacentral:rRNA from 1 species
UCGGACUGGAGUCUGCAACCCGACUCCACGAAGCUGGAUUCGCUAGUAAUCGCGCAUCAGCCACGGCGCGGUGAAUACGUUCCCGGGCCUUGUACACACCGCCCGUCACACCAUGGAAGUCUGCAAUGCCCGAAGCCGGUGGCCUAACCACUUAUGUGGAAGGAGCCGUCUAAGGCAGGGCAGAUGACUGGGGUGAAGUCGUAACAAGGUAAC